rnacentral:rRNA from 1 species
CAGUAGCCGCGGUAAUACAGAGGGUGCGAGCGUUAAUCGGAUUUACUGGGCGUAAAGCGUGCGUAGGCGGCUUCUUAAGUCGGAUGUGAAAUCCCUGAGCUUAACUUAGGAACUGCAUUCGAUACUGGGAAGCUAGAGUAUGGGAGAGGAUGGUAGAAUUCCAGGUGUAGCGGUGAAAUGCGUAGAGAUCUGGAGGAAUACCGAUGGCGAAGGCAGCCAUCUGGCCUAAUACUGACGCUGAGGUACGAAAGCAUGGGGAGCAAACAGGAUUAGAUACCCCUGUAGUCCCUGUCUCUUAUAC